GCAGCGCACCAUGGCGGUUUGGAUACACAUUACUGCUCCGUCACGGCCACUGAGUUAAUAUCUUGGAAUUUGCUACCUAACACCAUGUGAGAGCACGAGGACUGCAAUGCUUUAAGGAGAAGGCUCUCCACUUCCUCAGGGCAGAAUGUCUUGACAAAAGAGAAGGAUGAUGCGGACAAAGAACUUGUUGCCCAGGAUUUUACAGCCCCUCCUGUCUGUCAGGAUAUUAUGGUCCCACUGAACUGAAUGGAGGUUUAAAUGGCUCACCACAUCUGCCUGGAGGAGACAGGUCACAGCAGGGCCAUAAAAUCCUGGCCAUUGAGAACCCUGCCCACAUCUUCAGCACCAAUGCAUAUUGCCUGGCCUGCUGUGUGCUUCCAGCAUUCCCUUUAUGUAUUUCAGACAUUCUGCAUUGGUGAUUUCACUUUUUACCUCACCAUACUAGUAUUGCACUGCCAACAGCAAUAUAAAGCGCCAAUACUUGGAGCCUUCUUUAGCAGAGAAACCAGUGCUGAGACAUUUAUUCACAACCAAGUCCUGCUGUGACCGCACACCACAGCCCCGGGGUAUUAUUUUUAAAAACUGAUAAGAGAAAUCAAUCACCAUCAUUAAAAGUAAAGUCAGAAUAUGUUUUCUUCUGCAUUACUGAAAUGAUAUGUUCGAGUUACCUAUUUAUCCUGUCUGAGCCAUU